UACAGAGGGUGCAAGCGUUGUUCGGAAUUAUUGGGCGUAAAGCGCGCGCAGGCGGUCUUUUAAGUCUGAUGUGAAAGCCCACGGCUCAACCGUGGAAGGUCAUUGGAAACUGGAAGACUUGAGUGCAGAAGAGAAGAGCGGAAUUCCACGUGUAGCGGUGAAAUGCGUAGAGAUGUGGAGGAACACCAGUGGCGAAGGCGGCUCUUUGGUCUGUAACUGACGCUGAGGCGCGAAAGCGUGGGGAGCAAACAGG
rnacentral:rRNA from 1 species